GCUGACCCAAAGUCAGCAUAUUUUUCACAGCUCCCAUCCAACAGGCCUUUUGGGGGGCGGGGUGGUCUGCCCAGUGCUGCUGUGAUAGGGCUCAUUUAACAUGACACAGCCCUCCCCUUGCCCCAACAUGAGGGCGUUACGGCCCAGCACAAUAAGAGUUAAAUGGUGAUUGAAACUCCUGAAACUGAAUCUGAGGCAUUUUUUUAAUCCACAUCUGGUGUCAAGACAGCCCCCGGGCUCCAUUGUCCGGUGCCAGUCAGGUCCAUAGGAUGUCUGUCAAAAAGUGGAUUUCCAUGUUUGCAGCAAAGCUUUUUUAGCAGGAAGAAAUGACUUUAGCAUACGGUGCAAGAAGGGCGACGCUUGAAGGGAGCGCCAGCAGGGACAUCCUGUGGUCGGAAACGGAACUGCGCAGCAAGGUUGGGCCACCUGGAACAAUGCCUUUGUUGUCCCCACAGAGCAGUGGAAGCCAGGGAAUCAAGAGCAAGAAGACCCUGAAGAGCGAUAAGAAGCAGAAAAUACAUAAUUGAUCAAAGGAAGCAGCAAAUAGUUAAUCCAUGGCAUUCACUGCCUCAUAGAACUUCUAGAAACAGAAGAAGAGAGCUUCUGUCAUUAAGAAGAGGACCAAAGAGGAAGUAUAGACCAAAACAGCCUAACAUCAAUGAUGUGACUUACAUAGCGCCAAGAGUGGUCUCAGCUCUGCGCCAGGAGCCUCUGAGGACAUCGACAAGCAUUUGCAGUGAGAGGGGAUGAGUGUCCCAGCCCAGAUCAAUAGACUUGGGGGUAGCGGGCUCACGCUAGCGCUCUAAAAAGAC